rnacentral:lncRNA from 1 species
UAUUGCUUCUGCCACAGGAAGGUUAACCUGGGACUGAGUUUCUCUCCCUGAGCUGUCAGAGGCCCAUCUGGGACCUGCUUCCAUAACUCCGUCCAGGGCUCUAGGACUGCUCUCUACCUUCUUCCAUCCCGGGAUGGCCAGUAAUAAGACCAGCACUGCACCAGAGCCUCACCUGUCCUCCAGAUGGCGCCCCCCUGGCUGACUCCUUUAUCCUUCAGCUGCACCCAAAGGAACUCAAAGUCAUCCCGUCUGCCCAUGCCCACCUGUCACCUGAAUGUCCCUCCAGUAAGAAGGAAAAGGACCUCUUAGGAUGGCUUCUACCCACAAAUACCUUUCCCGUCGGUCAGCAACCAUCCUAAAGUCUGAAUAGCCCAUCUGUCUCACUGCUGUGGGUUUAAAAACGAAGCAGGACACAUCAAGUUUGUGCUGAUACCUUUCCCAGUGUCCCACCGACCACGGGGUUACAACCCUGGACCAGGGGGGUAUGUCUGUCCACUUCUUUGCCUUUGUGCCUUUGCUCAUUCUGAUCCACCUAGUACAGUCCUCGUCCCUAAAGAUUCAGUUCAAAUAUUACACGAACAGAAAGCCAUCCAUGUUCGGGAUUGCCUAAUCUAUAGGGCCAAAGGAAGGUGCAGUAGCCUUGGCGCCAGACUGCCAGAACGAGAUCCCGAUGGGCUGGGACAGGGUCCGUCAUAGGUUAGGAACAAGGGAGCUGCUAACUUGCUCGGGUGGCCCGUCUGCGACCGGGGAUAGAAGGAUGGAGGGACGUAGGUUUGUCCGCAAGCGACAGACAGUGUCGCGCUGCACGACAGGCAGCAUGGCCACCCCAAGCCCAGACCUGGAGCUCAGCCCAGCCGUGCGCACCUCCGCCCCUGCCUCCGCCGCCCCGGCCUCCGCUCCGUCUGGUCCCGCGCCUGCUUCUCCGGGGCCGCGGGGCUCCGCUGCCUUGCAGCUCCCCGGGUCAGCACCGACGAGGUCUCCAUGACUGUCAGCGACUGCCGACCGCUAAGCCCUCCAGACACUGCUCCAACAGCCAAUCGCAAGCCUGGGCCUGCCCCUGCCGCAGCUCUCAGCCAAUGGUGAGUGUGCAGCGCCGCGGUUGGCUCGCACCGAGUUCCGGCUAGGAUCUGUCCACGUUCUGCAAGCGGCGGGUGUAGAGCCUGAGUUAAAUAACCGGAGAGACGGGGCGGGACCUGAUGGGCGGGGUCUAGGAGAAAGGCGGGGCUGCGUGGAUCCUGAGCCCAAGGUUCUGAGACCCAAAAAAGUGUUAUUUAGAGUUAGCCACGAAGUUUUCUUUCCAGACGAAUGAAACAAUCUGCCAGCGACAACCAAGUCGGUACACGUUAGCAAUGAGCCCUGGAACUGGGCCACAGAGACUGGUGGCCUAGCUUCCCUGGGUCCCUGGCUCCUUGGAUCCCUGGAUUCCUGGAUGGGAUCUAAUAUUACAGGCACCUGUAAUAUUCUGCUUUUUUUAAGAAAUUAAAAUAUAAUUACAUGUUUGAGUGGUGUGAAUAUCUCACAGAGGUGUUAUAACCAGCUUCAGGCGUCUGCCCCAGAACAGCUGAGGCACAAGCAAACCCUCCCAUCUGUUACGUCUGUCUGCGGUUUCCCAGGCACUCAGCUUGUCUUACUUCAUGAGAAAAGCCAGGGCUGACCUCGGGCUCCUGCUGCCUGGCCCAGCUUCCUGCCCACUGGAGGCUGUGUCUACGCACCUGCUCGGCAGCCUGCCCAGCCAGGGGUUGACGGCUCCUGGCACGCUCCAGCCAACAUGCCUUCAAGUAACCCACCUGCUCCAUCUUCCACAGUGAAGGAACGCCACCUGGGAUGCCUGUCUUUGUGUCUCAUGCCCCUUGUUUUCUUGUAACCGCACAAACAGUUAUAAAAUGAACAUUAUGGAAGGCCUGACCAGUGAAGAAUGGAAUCCCUCGGGCUAAA